CCUACUGGGGGCAGCAGUGGGGAAUAUUGGACAAUGGGGGCAACCCUGAUCCAGCCAUGCCGCGUGUGUGAAGAAGGCCCUCGGGUUGUAAAGCACUUUCAGUGAGGAAGAACGCCUGGUGGUUAAUACCCAUCAGGAAAGACAUCACUCACAGAAGAAGCACCGGCUAACUCCGUGCCAGCAGCCGCGGUAAUACGGAGGGUGCGAGCGUUAAUCGGAAUUACUGGGCGUAAAGCGCGCGUAGGUGGCUUGAUAAGCCGGUUGUGAAAGCCCCGGGCUCAACCUGGGAACGGCAUCCGGAACUGUCAAGCUAGAGUGCAGGAGAGGAAGGUAGAAUUCCCGGUGUAGCGGUGAAAUGCGUAGAGAUCGGGAGGAAUACCAGUGGCGAAGGCGGCCUUCUGGACUGACACUGACACUGAGGUGCGAAAGCGUGGGUAGCAAACAGGAUUAGAUACCCUGGUAGUC
rnacentral:rRNA from 1 species